rnacentral:rRNA from 1 species
CUUGGUCAUUUAGAGGAAGUAAAAGUCGUAACAAGGUUUCCGUAGGUGAACCUGCGGAAGGAUCAUUAUUGUAUAACAGAGGUGCCGGGGCUGUCGCCGACUUUGUGCACGCCCCGGUGCUCUCUCACAAUCCAUCUCACCCCCUUUGUGCAUCACCGCGUGGGCGCUCUCCUUUUGGUUCAUUCUGAAAAGGGGGCGUUUGCGUUUUUAUACAGACCACCGCAUGUGUAGAAUGUCUUACUAUUUGCGAUAACACGCAAUCAAUACAACUUUCAACAACGGAUCUCUUGGCUCUCGCAUCGAUGAAGAACGCAGCGAAAUGCGAUACGUAAUGUGAAUUGCAGAAUUCAGUGAAUCAUCGAAUCUUUGAACGCACCUUGCGCCCCUUGGAAUUCCGAGGGGCACACCCGUUUGAGUGUCGUGAACAUCCUUCAACCUUUCUUGGUUUCUUGACCGGGGAAGGCUUGGACUUUGGGGGUUUUUCAUUGCUGGCCUCCCUUGAAGCCAGCUCCUCCUAAAUGGAUUAGUGGGGUCUGCUUUGCCGAUCCUUGACGUGAUAAGAUGUUUCUACGUCUUGGGUUUCGCACUGUCGCUUCAGACCCCGCUUCAAACAGUCUUGCAUCUAAGACAGAGUUUUAUAAACCUUGACCUCAAAUCGGGUGAGACUACCCGCUGAACUUAAGCAUAUCAAUAAGCGGAGGAA